UAUUUUAUAUACGAAAUCAAUUAAAUCUUAAUCACAUAAAAAUUAGCACAAAAAAAAAUAUUCAACAAUUAAAAAUUUAUCAAAUCUCUGUGUUAUAUAAGUUUUGAUACUAUAUUC
rnacentral:sRNA from 1 species